rnacentral:rRNA from 1 species
GCACCAAGCGGAGGAACAUGUGGUUUAAUUCGAUGAUACGCGAGGAACCUUACCCCGGGCUCGAACGGCUGGUGAACGAUACAGAGAUGUUGAGGUCCUUUCGGGACGCCAGUCGAGGUGCUGCAUGGUUGUCGUCAGCUCGUGCCGUGAGGUGUCGGCUCAAGUGCCAUAACGAGCGCAACCCUUGCCGUCAGUUACCAUCAAGUAGUGUUGGGGACUCUGGCGGGACUGCCACCGCAAGGUGUGAGGAAGGGGGGGAUGACGUCAAAUCAGCACGGCCCUUACGUCCGGGGCGACACACGUGUUACAAUGGCGGCCACAGAGGGGCACUACCUGGCGACAGGAUGGGAAUCUCGAAAAGCCGUCUCAGUCCGGAUCGGAGUCUGCAACCCGACUCCGUGAAGCUGGAUUCGCUAGUAAUCGCGCAUCAGCCAUGGCGCGGUGAAUACGUUCCCGGGCCUUGUACACACCGCCCGUCAAGCCAUGAAAGUCUGGGGCGCCUGAAGUCCGUGACCGGAAGGAGCGGCCUAGGGCGAAACAGGUAAUUGGGGCUAAGUCGUA